rnacentral:rRNA from 1 species
AGUGAACGCUGGCGGUAGGCCUAACACAUGCAAGUCGAACGGCAGCACAGUAAGAGCUUGCUCUUACGGGUGGCGAGUGGCGGACGGGUGAGGAAUACAUCGGAAUCUACUUUUUCGUGGGGGAUAACGUAGGGAAACUUACGCUAAUACCGCAUACGACCUACGGGUGAAAGCAGGGGAUCUUCGGACCUUGCGCGAUUGAAUGAGCCGAUGUCGGAUUAGCUAGUUGGCGGGGUAAAGGCCCACCAAGGCGACGAUCCGUAGCUGGUCUGAGAGGAUGAUCCGGCACACUUGAACUGAGGAACGGUUCCGACUCCCACGGGAGGCAGCAGUGGGGAAUAUUUGACAAAGGGCGCAAGCCUGAUCCAGCCAUACCGCGUGGGUGAAGAAGGCCUUCGGGUUGUAAAGCCCUUUUGUUGGGAAAGAAAAGCAGCAGGUUAAUACCCCGCUGUUCUGACGGUACCCAAAGAAUAAGCACCGGCUAACUUCGUG